rnacentral:rRNA from 1 species
UAGGGAAUCUUCCGCAAUGGGCGAAAGCCUGACGGAGCAACGCCGCGUGAGUGAUGAAGGUCUUCGGAUCGUAAAACUCUGUUAUUAGGGAAGAACAAAUGUGUAAGUAACUAUGCACGUCUUGACGGUACCUAAUCAGAAAGCCACGGCUAACUACGUGCCAGCAGCCGCGGUAAUACGUAGGUGGCAAGCGUUAUCCGGAAUUAUUGGGCGUAAAGCGCGCGUAGGCGGGUUUUUAAGUCUGAUGUGAAAGCCCACGGCUCAACCGUGGAGAGUCAUUGGAAACUGGAAAACUUGAGUGCAGAAGAGGAAAGUGGAAUUCCAUGUGUAGCGGUGAAAUGCGCAGAGAUAUGGAGGAACACCAGUGGCGAAGGCGACUUUCUGGUCUGUAACUGACGCUGAUGUGCGAAAGCGUGGGGAUCAAACAGG